AUAAGCGUGCUGUUACCUGAACAAAAUGGCUUGUAAAUGUGGAUGUGGAUGUGUUUGUAAGGGCUGCGCUGGAACAGCUGCCUGCUGUGGAAAGAAGUGUUGUGCCAAGUGUAAAUGUUAGACGAUGAGGUUAUUAAGGCUGAUACUGACAGAAGAUGGCCUGCAUGGAGUAUUAAACUAAUGUUAAAUUAAAAACUCUUACUAAUUUGAUCUACUAAAAUUAUAAUAAAUGACGUAAUUAUCUAAUGUAAUAUAUAAUUUCUAAUGUAAUAUAUAAUAUGAUAUAAUGAACUGAUUUUAGUUUAUCUUAAAUUUCAAA